rnacentral:rRNA from 1 species
UACGAAGGGUGCAAACGUUAUUCGGAAUCACUGGGCGUAAAGGGUGCGUAGACGGUAUGUUAAGUUCGUUGUUAAAGGCUCCGGCCCAACCGGAGUAUUGCGAUGAAAACUGGCACACUAGAGGGUGAGAGUGAGAAGUGGAAUUCCCGGAGUAGCGGUAAAAUGCGUGGAUCUCGGGAGGAACACCAAUGGCGAAGGCAGCUUCUUGGCUCAUACCUGACGUUGAGGCACGAAAGCGUGGGGAGCAAACAGG